GCCUGUGGCCAUACCACCCUGAACCCACCUGAUCUCAUCUGAUCUCAGAAGUUAAGCAGGGUUGAGCCUGAUUAGGACUUGGAUGGGAGACUGCCUGAAAAUAUCAGGUGCUGUAGGCU
rnacentral:rRNA from 1 species